GGGCAAUUAGUUUAGUGGUAUAACGUCCGUUUUGCAUACGGAAGGUCGUGAUUUCGAUUAUCACAUUGUCCA
rfam:Trichophyton equinum CBS 127.97 supercont1.33 genomic scaffold, whole genome shotgun sequence.